GACGAACGCUGGCGGCGUGCUUAACACAUGCAAGUCGAACGGAAAGGCCCUGCUUGCAGGGUACUCGAGUGGCGAACGGGUGAGUAACACGUGGGUGUUCUGCCCUGCACUUCGGGAUAAGCCUGGGAAACUGGGUCUAAUACCGGAUAGGAGCCCUUUUUAGUGUGAUGGUUGGAAAGUUUUUUCGGUGUAGGAUGAGCUCGCGGCCUAUCAGCUUGUUGGUGGGGCAAUGGCCUACCAAGGCGGCGACGGGUAGCCGGCCUGAGAGGGUGGACGGCCACAUUGGGACUGAGAUACGGCCCUGACUCCUACGGGAGGCAGCAGUGGGGAAUAUUGCACAAUGGGCGCAAGCCUGAUGCAGCGACGCCGCGUGGGGGAUGACGGCCUUCGGGUUGUAAACUCCUUUCGCUAGGGACGAAGCUUUUGUGACGGUACCUAGAUAAGAAGCACCGGCUAACUACGUG
rnacentral:rRNA from 1 species